rnacentral:lncRNA from 1 species
UUCCCUGCGAAACACUGGUGAUACUUUGUUCUUAAUCUUUAGGGGCUGACAGUUUUUUGUGGCCACAGAUGUGAUGGAAAGUGGAAGCCAUUCCUACUCAAUAUGACCCAACUGAGCAUGUGGCAUCUCCAGAGGUCCAUUGUGCCCCAUUCAAUUCUAGUCUGCAGAAAGUAGUGAGUGAUCUUUCCUUUCACUGAUCUUCAAGCUCCCAUCCUGGUCUGAGCUCCAUUACCUUGAAUGACCAAAUUCUUGGUGUCUCAAUCAAAGAGAGGAUUUGUCUACUUCUUCCUGAAAAGUUUUCUUUUUUUGAUUCAAGAUAUUGGUUAUUUCUGACUAUUUCUUUUUGAUUAAAGGAAGUCAGACUAAGAAGAAGGAGCCAUCAAAGAAUAAGACUGCAGAGCGUAUGCAUUUGGUUAAUGGACUAGAUAUCUUAACAACUGGCAGCAUAUCACCAAAUACAACCCCUUCUGAUCAUUGAAACCUCAGGAAGAUAAUUUUCCAUCCCUUUUUGGGUUCUGGCAGAUGGAUUUUGUCCAGCUCCCUCCUGUGAAUGGUUGUAUCAGCAUAAUAUUUAUUUCACGAAAUUUUACCAAGACUCUUUCUUUACCAUGAAAAGGAUUACUUCUUCUAGAACUUGCUUUCUUGAAGAGGAGGAAUCAUCUCUGGUCAAGAGAACUUUGGGACAUUAAUUAAAUGUCUCUAGAGUUGAGAACCUUGAUUCAGUGGCAAGUGGAGGUGCCUACCAAUCAGAACAGCUGAACUCAGGGCUAAAUUCAUGAAAAUGAAAGGUUUAGGGCUUUGUUUCUGGACUAUGAAGAUGUAAGGAAUUUAAUUAAGAGUUUGACUAAAAUAUAUGAGAAAUUUAAGAUACUACUAUGGUCAUCGAUUUUAAAAUUAAUAUAGCCCAAGUCAAAAUGACUUUUAGCGGCUUUUAUUUAUAAAAAAAAAAAAGAGAAAGGGAAAUUAGAGAAAUAUGAAAGUGGGUAGAGUAAGAAGUCUAGCUUAUCAUCCUAAAUGUUGUUCCUGUCCCCAGCUCAACAGAGGGACUUGGUGUUGGUUCAACCCAAAAGGACUCCUCCAAGAAAGGGAAGCCUCUCUGGAACUAAUAUCUCCAGAAGCCAGGAAAGGAAGUGAAUGGAAAUAUAUUUAAUCCCUAUCCUUUACAUCACUCAGAUUUUCAUAACAAACUCAGGAAGUCCAACAGAUAAGAUGAGUAAAUAAUAAUGAUGCAAUGUACCCACAUAAUGCAUUUUGAAGAAAAAUAUAAAUAUGUCAAUUAUGAUCCAGAAGAAAAGCCUUACUAAUCCAAAUAUUUUGAGUUGCAUUUUUUUCUUAUUUUAUGGGAUGGAGAAAGCUACUGUUGGUAACGAUGAUGAUAUAAGAAACAGAAGAUAUCAGUAAAAAUGUAUUUUUUUAAAGUAACGUUGCUAUACAAAAAUGCCAUUCAUUAUCUUUUUUCUCUCAUCUGUAUUCCCACCUUCCUAUACUCUGUACCAAGGAUAUUCUUCCUAAUAAAAGUGAUGGAAAUUUUUAUUUUGUUUCA